UACAGAGGUCCCAAGCGUUGUUCGGAUUCACUGGGCGUAAAGGGUGCGUAGGUGGCCAGGUAAGUUUGGUGUGAAAGCUCGGAGCUUAACUCCGAAAAGUCAUUGAAUACUAUCUGGCUGGAGGGUCGGAGGGGAGACUGGAAUUCUCGGUGUAGCAGUGAAAUGCGUAGAUAUCGAGAGGAACACCAGUGGCGAAGGCAAUCCCCUGGGCCUGCACUGACGCUCAUGCACGAAAGCGUGGGGAGCAAACAGG
rnacentral:rRNA from 1 species